rnacentral:rRNA from 4 species
CGAAACUUGCCCCGAGAUGAGUUCUCCCUGAGACUUAGAGUCUCCUGAAGGAACGUUGAAGACGACGACGUUGAUAGGCCGGGUGUGUAAGCGCAGCGAUGCGUUGAGCUAACCGGUACUAAUGAACCGUGAGGCUUAACCUUACAACGCCGAAG